UACGAAGGGUGCAAGCGUUACUCGGAAUUACUGGGCGUAAAGGGCGCGUAGGCGGAAUGGCAAGUCGGUCGUGAAAUCCUUCGGCUCAACCGAAGAACGUCGAUCGAAACUGCCGUUCUUGAGGAUUGCAGAGGAGACUGGAAUUCCCGGUGUAGCGGUGAAAUGUGUAGAGAUCGGGAGGAACACCGGUGGCGAAGGCGGGUCUCUGGGCAAUUCCUGACGCUGAGGCGCGAAAGCGUGGGGAGCAAACGGG
rnacentral:rRNA from 1 species